GACGAACGCUGGCGGCGUGCUUAACACAUGCAAGUCGAACGGGUGCCUCAUCUUCGGGGGGGGUGUUAGUGGCGAACGGGUGAGUAACACGUGAGUAACCUGCCCCCUUCUUUGGGAUAACGUCGGGAAAUCGGCGCUAAUACUGGAUAUUCUGGCUUCACGGCAUGGUGGGGUUUGGAAAGGGUUUCUGGUGGGGGAUGGGCUCGCGGCCUAUCAGCUUGUUGGUGGGGUGAUGGCCUACCAAGGCGGUGACGGGUAGCCGGCCUGAGAGGGUGUCCGGCCACACUGGGACUGAGACACGGCCCAGACUCCUACGGGAGGCAGCAGUGGGGAAUACUGCACAAUGGGCGGAAGCCUGAUGCAGCGACGCCGCGUGAGGGACGACGGCCUUCGGGUUGUAAACCUCUUUCAGUAGGGAACAAGGCUUUCGGGUUGAGGGUACCUGCAGAAGAAGCGCCGGCUAACUACGUGCCAGCAGCCGCAGUAAAAC
rnacentral:rRNA from 1 species